GCACUCACUUUGGCAGCACAUUUACUAAAAUCAGAGUGAUUCAAAGAAAAUUAUCAUGGGCCCUAUGCAAAGAUGAUGUACAAAUUUGUCAAACAUUUUAUAUUUUU
ensembl:snRNA U6 U6 spliceosomal RNA